CUUCUCAAAUUACUAUAAUUCUCUUCUUAAAAGAGAUCUGAUCUGUGUCAAGAGAAAAGAUAUUUGUGAUGUGCUAAACAAACCUGUGGAGGUGAAUCAGCAGCAUGACUGACUUAGCCAUUGUUGCCAGUCACCUCCAGACAAGU
rnacentral:snoRNA from 1 species